AAUCCAACGGCGCAGCGAUCCCCACCCAGCUCCCCGGCUCAUCCCUCACGCAUCGGGGGAUCGCGCCCGCAUCCAUCGCAUCCGCCGCCGUCGCCUUCGAUCCUCCCCGCCAUCGCCGUCCUCCCCACCUCGUCGCCGACCCAGCGCCGCCAUCGCCUUCCUCCCCCACCGCGUCAAUCAUCGCCGUCCUCCCCCACCGCGUCGCCGACCCAGCGCCGCCAUCGCCGUCCUCCUCCACAGCGUCGCCGACCUAGCUCCUCGCCUCAUCCCUCCCACACCAGCUCCCUCCCCCACUGCUGUCCUCGCCACCGCCAUCGCCGUCCUCCCCCAGCACGUCGCCGACCCAGCGCUCCUCUCCGUCGAUCUCCACCACGGUCCCUUUCGCGCCACACCGGAAGCUGCCCGCCAGUCCUCCGGUCGUCGCUGGUUGCUGUCGGCAGGUGGAUGCAGUACUCUGGUCGCCCGUCUCCCCUCCAUCACCGAGUGACAUUCCCAUCUACAAAAGAAGUUUCUGCAGGUACACUUGGCGGCAUCACUAAUUUAACUCUGAUUUAACUUACGCGGAAGCGUGCUAGGGAGCGAUAUGCUGCUCUUAGUGCUGACGACAAGAAAUUAAUCUUAGUGCUGACGACAAGGAAGCUAGGCUUCAAAAGAUGCGAGAGUAUCGAUCCUGUACCUACCCAUGGUAUUUAAAUUAUUAUCUCACAAACGGCAUAGAUCUGAAGUGAAAUCUUGCCACUGGACACAAGCUCACUCUUCUUCAGGACGUCAGGUUCCUUCAUCACCCGGGUACUCUUCCCUACUGUGAAAGAGGAUGAUAUGCUUCCUACUCAAAUCGCUAUUCAGUUGACUAAUGAGUAUGAAUUUUUUCCGCUUCUCAUUUAAAUAGACAGUCUUCUUGAUUUGAUAACCAUAUUUUACACUUUCUCCUUUCAAUAGCUGGAAUAUUAUAGCGGCACCAUUCAUAAAUGACAUUAUCCUAUUCGGGACAUUUCUGUCUAUAAGUGCUAAGUUGACAGGUGAAUGCAAAGUUCAAUUCAGUGCAGUGAAGAACCUGCCAACAGAUCAAGGGCGAGGGCAGGGGAAGGGUGCUGCAGCGCUUCAACACAUUAGCGCUUCCAGGCUCUAGAUCACUCUAGCGUGUGGCCUUGGUGUACUAGCCACUUGCCAGGAAAAUGAGUGUGGGAGUGGGAGCUUAUGGCACGAGCUGGAGACAUGGAGAGAGAUUAGCAGGUUCAUUAGAAGUGAAAUUGUAGCAGAGAUUUGUAUAUAUGUAUAUGUAUAUAUAUAUAUAUGUAUAUGUAUACAUGUACAUGUACAUGUAUAUAUAUGUAUACAUGUAUAUGUACAU